ensembl:lncRNA novel transcript
CUGUCACCUCGCUGGAAGGAGUGGAACCCAGACUUGCUGGUCUGAUCCAUGCACAAGGCGCGGCUACGAGGCCACUGUGCCCGGGCAGGGAAGUCGGUGCGGUUGGCCAGCUCCGGGAUGACCCGCCGGGACCCGCUCACAAAUAAGGUGGCCCUGGUAACGGCCUCCACCGACUGCUUACAGAGUCAAGUCCCUGGGAACUUCAGGAAGCAGCCCACCAUGUUUCAACCACUUACUAUGUGCCAUUUCCUGUGUUCAGAGCCUUACACAGGUUAUCUCUAGACCUGACAACAACCCAAGCAAGGCAAGGACUAUUCUCUCGGUCUGCAGACGCUGGCUCAGAUAGCUGGAGCAACUUCCCAAGGUCCCACAGCCAGUAAGGAAAGACCCAGACCUCCCAAGCUCCCUUCCUUUAUUGGCUGCCUGUGGACUACCAGGGCUUCAGUCCUUACAAUGUCAGUAAAACAGCCUUGCUGGGCCUCAACAAGACCUUGGCCAUAGAGCUGGCCCCAAGGAACAUUAGGGUGAACUGCCUAGCACCUGGACUUAUCAAGACUAGCUUCAGCAGGAUGCUCUGGAUGGACAAGGAAAAAGAGGAAAGCAUGAAAGAAACCCUGCGGAUAAGAAGGUUAGGCGAGCCAGAGGAUUCUCUUGGCAUCGUGUCUUUCCUGUGCUCUGAAGAUGCCAGCUACCUCACUGGGGAAACAGUGAUGGUGGGUGGAGGAACCCCGUCCCGCCUCUGAGGACCCGGAGACAGCCCACAGGCCAGAGUUGGGCUCUAGCUCCUGGUGCUGUUCCUGCAU